UAACGCGUGAGUAACCUGCCUUUCAGAGGGGGAGUAACGUUCUGAAAAGAAACGCUAAUACCGCAUAAGAUUGUAGUUUCGCAUGGAGCAGCAAUCAAAGGAGCAAUCCGCUGAAAGAUGGACUCGCGUCCGAUUAGAUAGUUGGCGGGGUAACGGCCCACCAAGUCGACGAUCGGUAGCCGGACUGAGAGGUUGAUCGGCCACAUUGGGACUGAGACACGGCCCAG
rnacentral:rRNA from 1 species